rnacentral:tRNA from 1 species
GGAGGGGUGGCCGAGUGGCUGAAGGCGGCGGUUUGCUAAACCGUUGUACGGGUCAUACCGUACCGUGGGUUCGAAUCCCAUCCCCUCCGCCA